AUAUCUCUCUGUACGGGAAGGAUGAGAAGCUUCGACUAAGGUUCGACUCGAGCGCCAGCGAGAGAGCGUUGCCGCAGGCAACGACCCGAAGGGCGAAGCGCGCAGCGCUGAGUAAUCCUUCCCCCACCACCA
rnacentral:sRNA from 1 species